UACGUAGGGGGCAAGCGUUGUCCGGACUUACUGGGCGUAAAGCGUGUGCAGGCGGGCCGCUAUGUGCCGUGUGAAAGCUCUCAGCUUAUCUGGGAGAGGUCGCGGUAGACAGGCAGUCUGGAGGCUCGGAGAGGUCAGUGGAAUUCUCGGUGUAGUGGUGAAAUGCGUAGAGAUGUGGAGGAACACCGAUGGCGAAGGCAGCCCCCUGGGUCAAGAUUGACGCUCAUGCACGAAAGCGUGGGGAGCAAACAGG
rnacentral:rRNA from 1 species